rnacentral:rRNA from 1 species
UACAGAGGUCCCGAGCGUUGUUCGGAUUCACUGGGCGUAAAGGGUGCGUAGGUGGUGAGGUAAGUCGGAUGUGAAAGCUCGGAGCUCAACUCCGAAAUGGCAUUGGAAACUACCUUGCUCGAGGGUUGGAGGGGGGACUGGAAUUCUCGGUGUAGCAGUGAAAUGCGUAGAUAUCAGGAGGAACACCGGUGGCGAAGGCGGCUAUCUGGACAGAAACUGACGCUGAGGCGCGAAAGCUAGGGGAGCAAACAGG